rnacentral:lncRNA from 1 species
UGUGAUUGUGUCACUAAGAAAUUCUGUGAAAUCCAGAGAAAGGAGGCUGAGUUGUUUGGGACUUUUUCACUACAGAAUUCCGCCCCCAUUCUUGGUCAAAAUGAUUGUAUCUAUUCAAAAUGCUAUGAAGAGUAAAGGAGAAAUCAUGAACAGCCUUGCAAAAUCACCAUUAUAUUGCAGGAGACAGAAACUGCCAAAUACCUCUUCUGGAAACUAGAGGGAGAUACUGAGCACUGGUGGUUCAAACAAAGAAUGAGGCAAGUGGGAAAACUGGAAAGAUUGAAUGUCCUUUGGAGUUCACAGAGGUUUGGCAGUGGGAGGAGAAAAACAAAACGAAGCAUAGUGGGAGUGUUGAACCGACUUUCCCAAGAUCCCCAGGUGGGUUUCAUGUAUUGCCUAAUGGGAAGAGUGGGACCGAUUCAGCUUUUCACACUGGCUGAAUUAUCUUACCUUGCCUAUUGUUCACAGCUAGAACCGAAUCUACAAAGCUACAGUUUAUCUAAAGAAUUCUUUGGAAAGAAAACUAUUUUGCUAUCCACACAUCUAGAUCCCACCUAUUGGACAGCACAGGCUGUAGCCUCAGUCUCUAAAGUCCAGACUAUAAAAUUAAAAAAAAAAAAAGUUCUCAGUGUGAAAUCGUAUUUAUUCUAAAAGUAAAGAAUACAACUUUUUCUGGCCAUUGGCGCAUCAGAGCAAAAUUCUGCUUGAAACUUAGCCAAAGAUGCCAUAAACUAUAAGUAAAACGAAAGCUUCCUCAUGUUCAUCAAAGCAUGUUCAUGACGACAGUCAGGAGACUCACUACCUUCACAUUUAAAGAGAUGUUUUGAAUAAUGGCCACCGAAAUUCAUUACUGGGCUUCCACAUUAAAAAAUUA